CUGGCAUUCAUUUUUAAUAUAUUUCUUUUCUCCUCUUUUUUGUCAUUCCCCCUGUUAUCCACAAGUCCUCAAUAUAUUUUUGUAGAAGUUACAGCCCGAUCUUAGUGCUGGGAAAAUCGAGGGAGGGGCUUGUGUCCAUGGUAGCAGGAAAGGAUACAGGAACAGGGACAGAGCCUGGGGAAACCGCUGUGAUAGCAGGCAGUGGGGUGCACGUCCUCCUUGUGAUGAGGCAGCCAGCCGAGGAGACCAAUGACAGCAGCCUGGACCCACGGGCUCUGCAGAUCUUCUAUGGGCGUCCCAGAGCCCUUUUGGAGGGAACUUGGUGAAGGAUGGGGUUCCCUGCAUACUACACCUGUUGGUCUGGAUUGCAGCUGGAAUUGGAAGGGAAAUGCAUUUCCAUUGAAGGAAGAAGUGUAACAGUGAGCAGGCAGGUGUCAGCGGAUCUCAAGAGAAUAAUGUCAACUGGACAAUGGCUUAGAGGCAGGAGGAGGCAGAUCAGCUAGGCAGAUGUGCAGAAGUUAAGUGUGGUUUCAUGCAGAAACUUCCAAAUGGAUUCAAGAGCCAAAGCCUUCAAGAAGUUGGUGUCAUUGUCACUUGGAAUAUGUUUGUAUUAAUACAGGUAGAAUAUGUUAAUAAACCAUAUUCUUAUCAAGAAUCUUCCAUUUACAGCCCUUAUUUUCUCCCUUUAUUUUUGCCCUUUCUUUUCUGCCUGGCUGUUUAACUCCUGGAUAUCUGAU
rnacentral:lncRNA from 10 species